GACUCUCGACAACGGAUAUCUCGGCUCUCGCAUCGAUGAAGAACGUAGUGAAAUGCGAUACUUGGUGUGAAUUGCAGAAUCCCGUGANCCAUCGAGUCUUUGAACGCAAGUUGCGCCCGAAGCCGUCAGGCCGAGGGCACGUCUGCCUGGGCGUC
rnacentral:rRNA from 1 species